rnacentral:rRNA from 1 species
UACGAAGGGGGGCUAGCGUUGUUCGGAAUCACUGGGCGUAAAGCGCACGCAGGCGGAUAGAUAAGUCAGGGGGUGAAAUCCCGGGGCUCAACCUCGGAAUUGCCUUUGAUACUGUCUAUCUCGAGUUCGGGAGAGGUUGGCGGAAUUCCUAGUGUAGAGGUGAAAUUCGUAGAUAUUAGGAAGAACACCAGUGGCGAAGGCGGCCAACUGGCCCGAUACUGACGCUCAUGUGCGAAAGCGUGGGGAGCAAACAGG